rnacentral:tRNA from 1 species
GGGCCUAUAUUUCAGUCGUAGAGAAUUUGACUGCAAAUCAAGAGUUCUUUGGUUCAAACCUGAUUGGGCUUU